UUGAGGGUCGUGUCGAUAAAAAAGGAAAUUCCAAUCGGGUUUCCCCUCAUUCGAAGGAGUCUCGAAAUUGAAGAGAGAGGGAAGAGAGAGCGUUGACGGUCGAGCAAGGGAAAGAGGUGAAGAGAGAAAAAGUGACCAGAAGAGGAAGAGGAAAUGUCGCGGAAGCCGAAGGCCAGAAGAAGAAGGGAGAAGGGAAGCGUGAUCGUGACCGCUCGAGUCAUCGAACACCGGUUUCGAUAAUCCCUCUUAUGUGAUUUUUGUUAUAGGUUCGACGAGACCGAGUCAUCGACAAGAUGCAGGAGCCGCGAUUUCGAGCUAGCGCCCGCCUAUUCGAUAAGUCGAGAGGUUUUUUAUUGGGUAUCGAAGCUCGAUACUCCCAGGUUGAACCAGAGAUUGUAGGGGAGCUGACCGCUUACCCUGACGCGUGAAAUCGGAGCGUCUCAGGCAAAUUCAGAAAGGUCCUUAGCACGAGGGAUUUUGUUGUAUUGCUAAAUAAAAGAGGAAAAAGAUUCUGAAGAGAAAAUAAGAAAAGAAAAAGAAGGCCAAAAAGCCAUAUUUGGAGCACCCAGGCCCAAAUCCAUUUAAACUAGCUCAUGCCCUCUAAAAUGAUAUCGUUUUGAGAGCUGGGGAGCAGAGCAGAACCCAACAAUGAUCAAAACGUUGUUGUUUUGAAAGAAAAAAAAAAAAAACAACAACGAAUCAGUGGGAGGGGGAAGAAAGGAUGUUGAAAAGGAAAAUAGGAGGUGAGAAAACCUGAGCUCCUCUCCUCCUUUCGCCUAUAAAAAACAUAUCUGAAAAAGAGAAAAAAAAAAAAAAGAAGGCAAUCAGUGGGUGAAGCAGAAAAGGAAAAACUUGCAGAGAGAGACGGGAGCUAGAGGGAGAAAGUUUGGCGCUAGAGGGAAUUGGUGGAACAAGGGAUGGUGACGCAGAAACUGAGCGUGACCCGAAGCGAUAUGGUGGAAGACAUAAUUGGAUCGAACUGAUUUAUGAUGGGGAAGCUGAAGCUGAAGCAGAAGCAAUCGUAAAGAGCUUAGAGGGAGAAACUGAGAAAAAUAUUCAAGAUAUCAUUGAUGUCCCAAGGAAGAUGCAAAAACCUGUGAGAGACUUGCGAGUCGUUGGACAUGAAGCCCAAUCCGAGUCACAAAAAGCUUGGAUUUUGAAGUUAUUUUCGGCUGGAAAAAACAAACCUUGCUCGGGGUACUGUUUUAAGUAUUUGACGAGGUGAAGUGUAGCGUCAAAGUGCAGCUUUCUGGGUUGUUGCAUGUACUGACUUAAAUGCUAGGUGGAGUAACAUAUGUCUGGUCUGGUAAAAUUGAGGUAGAGCAGCCGUCCAAUCAAGCGUCUGUAUUUUUCUGGAUUCGGUGGGUUGGACAUAAAAGAAGGAAGGUGUGUUGAUGGUGUUUCGGUUAUGUGUGCAAUAAAAUCCUCCAUCCAAGAAGGUCUGUUUCUCACCCUGGUGCUCCUCCUAAUUUUGGGUUCUUGAAAUUCUGGUUCACGUAGGUCAACCUCUCUGUUGUUGUUUUCGUCCAUGUCUGAAAUGGUUAUGUUAGGAAUUGGUAAUGGUGUGUCUUGGUGAUCAGUUCGUGGCGAUUGUAUUUAAUAUAGGUAAACAUGUUCAUGAAAUAUAAAAUCCCUUGACAGAAUUUUUUUUUUGUUAAAAACAUCAUAUAAUUUGUAUGCCUUGACACCCACUUCAUAACCCAAAAAAAUGCAUUUUAUAGCUCGUGCAUCAAAUUUUGUUUUCUGAUGAUAAACAUUUGUAGCAAAACAUAAGCAACCGAAUGUUUUUAAAAAUGAGUAAUCGGAUUGUUUUUUAUAUAAAAUUUCAUGAGGAGUUUCCAUCUUAAAAUUGAGCUUGACAAAAUAUUUAUUGUAUGUGUGGCCAUAAGUAUGGAUUCUCCCUAAAAUCUUUUUGGCAAAUUGGAUUCAAACAUUAGUGCUCUAGCGACUUGUAAAAGAUGCUUAUGCUUCCUUUCUACCACACCGUUUUGUUGUGGUGUAUAAACACAAGUUUUGUGAUGCACAAUACCUUUCUCUUGAAAAUUUUUUUUGCAUGAGCUAUUUAUAAAUUCAGUGCCAUUAUCAGUUGGAAUAACUUUAAUUGUUUUUUGAAACUGAUUGGAUACAAAAUUGCAAAAUUGUUUCAAAACAUUUGACACAUUUUAUUUUCGUUCAGCAAAAAAGUCCAAGUCGUUCUAGAAAAAUCAUCCACCAUAGUUAACACAUAAGAAGCUCCCGAAAUAGAUUGAACUAGAUAAGGACCCCAAAGGUCAGCAUAUAUUAAUUUAAAAGUAUCAUUAGUAGUAAUAUUACUUUUAGGAAAAGGUAAACGUUGUUGUUUUGCCAAGGGACAUACUUCACAAACAUGUAAAUCCAUUUUGCUUGGAAGAUUUAGGGUGGGAAUAUGAAGUAACUUGUUCAUUGAGGUAUGACCGAGUCUUUUAUGCCAAAGUUGCAGGGUGUUUGCUUGAGUGUGACUGGUGCAUGCUUUUUCUGGUUCUGUAUCUCUACUCAAGGUGUACAUACCUUCCUUUAUUGUUCCAUUUUUUAAUUUUCUGUUAGUCAUCAAAUCCUGCACAAAACAGUAGUUUGGAUAGAAAGAAACAUAAGUAUUUAAGGCUUGAGUUAAUUUUCUGACAGAUAUCAGGUUACAUGCAAAUUUUGGUAUGUAAAGAACAUCGUGUAAGGUUAGAUCAUUGCAUAGAUUUAUGGUACCUUUAUGUGUUGAGUACCUUAGAGUUCCAUCGGGUAAAGAGACAGAGAUUGUGGGUUCUAGUUUAAUGGUUUUAGUGAACAGACUAAAAUCAUGGCAUAUGUGUGAUGCUGCGCCUGUGUCGAUUACCCAAGUUCCUACAUCAUUUGAGGUAUGUAAAGAGUAGUAAUUAGAUUGUUUACCUGCAGGGCCAGAGUAGCCCAGACAUCCUGCUGAUUCCAUUGUGUUUGCUGCUGAUUUUUCAUGUAUUUGUUGAUUUCCUGCUGUAUAAUAUUAGUCAUUUCUUCAUUUCAGCUUGUUGAGACUGGUGUUUUGCCCUUGAUAUUGCUAGAAAUCUCAUCUGAAACAACAUUCACUCUUUCUUUGCCUUUUCUUCCCUUAAGUUCUGUGAACCAUUCCGGGUAACCAUGAAGUUUGAAACAAGUUUCUCUUGUGUGUCCUGUGUUUUUGCAAUAGGUGCAUAUCCUGUUGUCUUUGUCCUUUCCCCGAUUAUGUGGUCUUGAACUAUCUUUUGGAUUAGUGUAAAAAACAGCGGGCAUUUCUUCAGUUACAUUAUUGAUUUGCUCUUCUCUUUGCUUCUCAACACUGAGUACCAUUGAGUAGGGUUUGUUAACAAUAGGUAAUGGUUUUAUAAUUAAUAGUUGGUUUCUCAUAUUAUCAUAUGAGUCAUUCAGACCUAUCAAGAAUUGAAUCAAGUUGUCUGUGUUGUCAAUCUCAUUACGCAGGGCAAUCACAUUGCAAUUACACGAAGGUGAUGGUCUCAAAUAACUCAGUUCAUCCCAAAAGUUUUUUAAUUUUGUAAAAUAAGCCACAAUAGAAAGAUUUGACUGAGUGAUUGAACUAAUUUCUCGCUUUAAUUGAUACAGAAGAGGGCCAUUGCUUUCUCCAUACUUUUCUUUAAUUUCAUCCCAUAGAUUUUUUGCAGAUGUGGUGUACAGGAAGGCGCUGGCCAGUUCCUUGGUCGUCGAAUUGAGGAUCUAGGACACCACCAUACUGUCUGCUUUGUGCCAACGUUCAUAUGCUACUGUGUUGGGAGCUGGUUUCUCGAAUCUGCCAUCAACAAGCGCUAACUUAUCUUUAGCUCUUAGAGCGAUCAUCAUGGCACGACUCCAAGAGAGGUAAUUAGAACCAUCAAGAGUGACAAUAACUAGUUGCAUUCCGAGCUGAUAUGAGUUUUAGAGGGUUAGCAUAUCAGUAGUAGGAUUCGGGUUCUCCAUCAUAAGAGUUGAUUAUCAAAUACUUAGCAAUAAGAAUGUAGUAAGUAGGGAAAGUGACAAUGCUUAAUACAGGCACAGCUCGGAUACCAUGAAAACAAAAUGGGAGAGAGAACACCUUCUGUAAUUAGUGCUGGUUGUAUUUUUCUGCUAUUGAGUAAAUUGAUGUACACCAUUUAUAUACAGGAGAGAGAAAAAACCUAAUUAAUUAAAAACAAAUUACUAUUCUAAACUAUUCUAGAUUCUGCCAAAAUGUUACAGCUGUGAUAACAACUUGGCUACUUCAAUUGCUUGAAUCUGGACCCUUCAUUUUCUACUUUUGAUCUUCACCGUCCAUUCAUUUCAACCCUUGUCCUUUAACAUUGUUACAAAAAGGAAUUGUCUUAUGAAGAAAUAUUAGUGGGCAUACUGGAUAGACAAGAACGAGUAAUAAGGAAUAAGACUAUCCCUAUAGUUGAAGUGCUUUAGCAACGUCACUCUUAAGAAAAGGCUACUUGGGAAUCUGAAGAAUUGAUAUGGACACAAUAUCCUCAUUUACUUUAAAUUUUGUACUCAAUUUGAAGGAGCAAAUUUUUGUAAGGGGGAGAAGACAGUAACACCUCACCAUAAUUAGUCAUGUAACUAUAAGUAAAUAAUUGUCGUAGUUAAUUAAGUAAAUUUUUAUAAUAGAAAGAAAUUAACUUGAACAUGAAAUUAAUAAAAAUUAAGGUUGUAAUUAGUCGAUUGAAAAAAAAAUUAAAAAUUAGGGGCUUUGUAAAAAUAAGAAAAACUUAAAUGAAUAAAUUUUCAAGAAAAUAAGGCCAAACUGUAAAUACUAGAAAUAGGUGGAGGAAUGGCAAGAGAUGGGAACAGACAACCUGGAUUGCACGCUUAGAGGAGGACAAUCCAACGGCUCUCAAACGCAUAUCCAACCUGGCGGUCCAAAGCCAUUCCCGCCCAGAUCAACGAUUGAGAUGAAAGGGCAAAACGGAUGACUAGAUCGCAUGCAAAUGGAUAAGCAGAGUGUAUGCAAAUGGACGUGCCGAAAAAGGAAAACAAAAUGAACGGCCCAUAUCCAUAUGGGAAUUUAAAAUCCAAUGACUGAGAUCUAGAAAGGGUAAAAAGACUAAAUAACCCUUAUGAAACGACCAUGGUAUACGGUAAUUAAAUCGAAUGGGUGAGAUUCGAUUUGACACCUAAAACGGUCGAAAUGAUUAACUACCCCGGUUCAUCCUGAGAUGAUCGGACGAUGAGGGAUGAGGCGAUAAAAAGGGUCAUUCGAAUAAUGAGAGUUAAAAUUAGAAAGAGAGAGAAGGGAGAGCAUCGAGGGUCAAGAUGAGGGACAAAGAAGAAGAGAGGAGAAGAGAGAAGAAGUGCAAUCAAAGAAAGAUAUGGAAACAUCACAGAAGUCGAAAGUCAGAAGAAGAAGAA